rnacentral:rRNA from 1 species
CCUACGGGAGGCAGCAGUGAGGAAUAUUGGUCAAUGGCCGGAAGGCUGAACCAGCCAAGCCGCGUGAGGGAGGAAGGCGCAGAGCGUCGCAGACCUCUUUUGCCGGGGGACAAAAGGCCGGACUCGUCCGGUCCUGAGGGUACCCGGAGAAAAAGCAUCGGCUAACUCCGUGCCAGCAGCCGCGGUAAUACGGAGGAUGCGAGCGUUAUCCGGAUUCAUUGGGUUUAAAGGGAGCGUAGGCCGGCUUUUAAGUCAGCUGUGAAAGUCCGCGGCUCAACCGUGGAAUUGCAGUUGAAACUGGAGGCCUUGAGUGCACACAGGGAUGCCGGAAUUCAUGGUGUAGCGGUGAAAUGCUUAGAUAUCAUGAAGAACUCCGAUCGCGAAGGCAAGUGUCCGGGGUGCAACUGACGCUGAGGCUCGAAAGUGCGGGUAUCAAACAGGAUUAGAUACCCUUGUAGUC